UGGGGAAUAUUGCACAAUGGGGCGAAAGCCUGAUGCAGCAACGCCGCGUGAGGGAAGACGGUUUUCGGAUUGUAAACCUCUGUUUUCGGUGACGAAUAAAUGACGGUAACCGAGUAGGAAGCCACGGCUAACUACGUGCCAGCAGCCGCGGUAAUACGGAGGGUGCAAGCGUUAAUCGGAAUAACUGGGCGUAAAGGGCAUGCAGGCGGUUAUACAAGUAGGAUGUGAAAGCCUGGGGCUCAACCUCAGAACUGCAUUCUAAACUGUGUGACUAGAGUAUUGCAGGGGGAGACGGAAUUUCAGGUGUAGCGGUGGAAUGCGUAGAUAUCUGAAAGAACACCAAAGGCGAAGGCAGUCUCCUGGGCAAAUACUGACGCUCAUAUGCGAAAGCGUGGGUAGCAAACAGGAUUAGAUACCCUGGUAGU
rnacentral:rRNA from 1 species